GUUGUAUGUUCCACAGUCAGGGAGGGCUAAUGAGUUUUGAGCAUCCGACAAAGAAGAUGAAGGCAAUGCCUAGAAUUGAUAGCGAAGGAGUUAUGUGUGGGGCCAACUUUAAGGUUGAUGUCCAAUCAAGGGUUCACACCAUGCCACGUGUUGGAAGUGAAGCCAACUGUGCAACCUGGGGAUCACAUGCCUGAUCCAAAUUAUAUAUACUACUAAUUUCUGUUGACAUGAAAUUAGGAAAUCCUUUGAUUUUUCUUUUUU
rnacentral:misc_RNA from 1 species